rnacentral:rRNA from 1 species
UACAGAGGUCUCAAGCCGUUGUUCGGAUUCAUUGGGCGUAAAGGGUGUGUAGGUGGCGCCGUAAGUCGGGUGUGAAAUUUCGGAGCUUAACUCCGAAACUGCAUUCGAUACUGCGGUGCUUGAGGACUGGAGAGGAGACUGGAAUUCAUGGUGUAGCAGUGAAAUGCGUAGAGAUCAUGAGGAGGACCAGUCGGCGAAGGCGGGUCUCUGGACAGUUCCUGACACUGAGGCACGAAGGCCAGGGGAGCA